GUGGGGAAUUUUGCGCAAUGGGCGCAAGCCUGACGCAGCAACGCCGCGUGAGUGAGGACGCCUUUCGAGGUGUAAAGCUCUGUGAGAUGGGACGAAAGCCCUGGGGGUGAAGAGCCUGCGGGGGUGACGGUACCGUCAGAGGAAGCCCCGGCUAACUCCGUGCCAGCAGCCGCGGUAAGACGGAGGGGGCGAGCGUUGUUCGGAAUUAUUGGGCGUAAAGCGCGCGUAGGCGGCUGUGGAAGUCCUGAGUGAAAGCCCCUGGCUUAACUGGGGAAGGGCUUGGGAGACUCUACAGCUUGAGUGCCGGAGGGGGAGGCGGAAUUCCUGGUGGAGCGGUGAAAUGCGUAGAGAUCAGGAAGAACGUCGGUGGCGAAGGCGGCCUCCUGGACGGACACUGACGCUGAGGAGCGACAGCGUGGGGAGCGAACGGGAUUAGAAACCCUAGUAGUCC
rnacentral:rRNA from 1 species